CCUACGGGGGGCUGCAGUGGGGAAUUUUGGACAAUGGGCGCAAGCCUGAUCCAGCCAUUCCGCGUGAGUGAAGAAGGCCUUCGGGUUGUAAAGCUCUUUCGCCAGGGAAGAAAACUUAUCCUCUAACAUAGGAUGAGGUUGACGGUACCUUGAUAAGAAGCACAGGCUAACUACGUGCCAGCAGCCGCGGUAAUACGUACGGUGCGAGCGUUAAUCGGAAUUACGCAGGGUGAAUUGUAAGCCAGCUGUGAAAUCCCCGAGCUCAACUUGGGAACUGCGUUUGAAACUACAAGACUAGAAUAGGUCAGAGGGGGGUAGAAUUCCACGUGUAGCAGUGAAAUGCGUAGAGAUGUGGAGGAAUAUCAAUGGCGAAGGCAGCCCCCUGGGAUCAUAUUGACGCUCAUGCACGAAAGCGUGGGGAGCAAACAGGAUUAGAUACCCCUGUAGUC
rnacentral:rRNA from 1 species